CAACAACUGACAAAUAGCAUAGCCAGGGACCAGUAAAAAGAUUUGACUAAUUGUAAAUUUCCUGUGAAACCGCCAGAUGGAUGAACACGGAGGCAGCGCAACGAACGAUGAAACCAGGCAAAUGACUUACAGCAGAGUCUCAAAGAAUGAGAAUGAAGAGACGACAGAGGAGACUGAGGACAAUGUGGACAUGCUGGUGCCUCAUGAAGUGCCAACAGGGGUUCUGACUAUACAUAUAAAGGAUUGUAAAUUGUUUCCAAACAUCU